CUGCAGGUUCAGUCAACCACAGAUUGCGCUGCACCAUAGUAUUUAUGCUGAAAAAAGUCGCCUCAUAAGUGGAUUCAAGCAGUUCAAACCCAUUUUGUUCAAGGGCCAGCUGUAUAUGAAAUUAUUUUUAAAUACUUUUAUACCUUAAAAAGUAGACCAGACACACAACGGUUACAUUACUGAUCUGUACUUGCAUUGCUAAAACUGAUUAUAAACAUUUCAGUUCACUGGAUUUACAUUUGCUUAUUCACUAGCUCUGUUUUUACUUAUAUUUUUUUCCGGAGGGUACAGUUUUCCCUUAUCCUGAAGCACGAAGGUGAUUAUUUCAACUGGCGGAGGGUAUAAAUGACUGGAGGCUGGUGAUUCAGAACCAGAGACCCAUCUGAGUCCUCAACAUGUUUUGUGGCUCCUCUUUCAAAGAUUUUUCCUUUUCUGUCAGGAACUCUAGACUGAUGGCUUCAACCAACCAGAUAAGUUUUGGAGUUUGUAACCCCUAAAUUACACAGUGCUGCUUGUGCUUCUUACAGGUGCCUCAUCUUCACAGCCCAGCCCAACAGGUCUAUUUUGAAAGCACUUUGCUCGCAGUAGAGUUUGGUUCUUUCACAGCUUUUCUUUCUGGGGCCUCAUCAUGCAGUAGAUAGGGUCUUAGGUUGCUGACCAGAGAUGGACCCUGCGCCCCUUGCAGUGGAAGUGCAGAUUCUUAACCACUGGACCAGAGGGAAGUUCCAUAGCAUUUCUUUUUUAAUGCACUUUCAAGGUGUAUUGAAAAGCAGUGGUUGGAGAACCAUGUAAUAAACUCGUCUUUUCAAAGUAGUUGUUUACAAAAUUUAUCAAAAGUUUAAAAACUAUUAAAUACUGAGUAUGAAUGAGGCAGGUUCCCCAGUGAACUACAGUAAAUAAAACAUGGCCUCAUCCACAGGUGGGGGCAGGGCAGUGCUAUUAAUAUAACAGGGAGACCAUCAGUUAUCCAGCCAACAGGUGCAUGGGCUAUACUCACAAGGAGAGGCCUGUGCUGAGGGGAAGCCAGGUAUACAGAAUGUAAAGAUUUAUCGUUCACACAAUAAACUGUGGAAAAUUCUGAAAGAGAUGGGAAUACCAGACCACCUAAUCUGCCUCUUGAGAAACCUAUAUGCAGGUCAGGAAGCAACAGUUAGCACUGGACAUAGAACAACAGACUGCCUUGAUGUACAGUCAUACAUAAUUAGUCAUAUAUAAGUUUUGACUGGUUAAUGCAGUAUUUUACUGCUCAUUAAAGGUGAAUGUGAAAGGGAACCUUGUAACAGAACCUACCAAAUACUGAUACCAUAACGCUAAGCUUGUUUAAAUAUAACCCUUUGCAUAUAACCUGCUAGAUUUACUUUGACCAAGUAGUCAUUUGAACUUUCUUAUAUGAUUUUAUAAUUUGACUUAAAUUUCUAAAAUUAUAUAAAAAAACAAAUCCAUCAUCAUCAUCAUACCAAAACUAAAACCAGUAGUGUUCCAACUGUAUCAUAAUUGAGUAACUGAAAUAAAUACUUCUGUUGUUCUAUUUUUCUUUAUUUCUCAUCAGUGAAGUAAAUCAAGUCACUUUUUAUUGUGCUAAACCCUAUAGUAGGUGUGUGGACACACACUUGAUAUCUAGCUUGACAAUUGUCUUGAUGCCUUUUUAGUUUGUUCGUAUUGGAUAUAUGAGAAAUGUGGACCCCGAAGGUAGGUAAUAAAAAAAUUUUUUAACCACCCCUGUACCUAUCUGCAAUG
ensembl:lncRNA